rnacentral:rRNA from 1 species
GAGUUUGAUCAUGGCUCAGGAUGAACGCCGGCGGUGUGCCUAAUACAUGCAAGUCGUACGCACUGGCCCAACUGAUUGAUGGUGCUUGCACCUGAUCGACGAUGGAUCACCAGUGAGUGGCGGACGGGUGAGUAACACGUAGGUAACCUGCCCUGUACGGGGGGAUAACAAUCAGAAAUGACUGCUAAUACCGCAUAAGACCACAGCACCGCAUGGUGCAGGGGUAAAAACUCCGGUGGUACAGGAUGGACCCGCGUCUGAUUAGCUGGUUGGUGAGGUAACGGCUCACCAAGGCGACGAUCAGUAGCCGGCUUGAGAGAGUGAACGGCCACAUUGGGACUGAGACACGGCCCAAACUCCUACGGGAGGCAGCAGUGGGGAAUAUUGCACAAUGGGGAAACCCUGAUGCAGCAACGCCGCGUGAGUGAAGAAGUAUUUCGGUAUGUAAAGCUCUAUCAGCAGGGAAGAAAGUGACGGUACCUGACUAAGAAGCCCGGCUAACUACG